GACGAACGCUGGCGGCGUGCCUAAUACAUGCAAGUCGAACGGAGUGGCGCACGGGUGAGUAAUAUAUAGCUAAUCUGCCCCUUUCUGGAGGAAAACAGUUAGAAAUGACUGCUAAUACUCCAUAGCAAGGGAUGAGACUAUAUCGUAGCAGAUAGUCGGUGGGGUAACGACCGACCGAGGCUAUGACGCGUAACUGGUCUGUGAGGAUGAGCAGUAACAUUGGAACUGAGACACGGUCCAACCUCCUACGGGAGUGAGCCGGAGGGGAUUUUGCGCAAUGGGGGAAACCCUGAUGCAGCAACGCCGCGUGGAGUAUGACACUUUUCGGAGCGUAGAGUCCUUUUGUUAGGUAAGCGUUACCUGACGAAUAAGCACCGGCUAACUCCGUGCCAGCAGCCGCGGUAAUAC
rnacentral:rRNA from 1 species